rnacentral:rRNA from 1 species
CAGCCGCCGCGGUAAUACGUAGGGUGCGAGCGUUGUCCGGAAUUACUGGGCGUAAAGGGCUCGUAGGUGGUUUGUCGCGUCGUCUGUGAAAUUCCGGGGCUUAACUCCGGGCGUGCAGGCGAUACGGGCAUAACUUGAGUACUGUAGGGGUAACUGGAAUUCCUGGUGUAGCGGUGAAAUGCGCAGAUAUCAGGAGGAACACCGAUGGCGAAGGCAGGUUACUGGGCAGUUACUGACGCUGAGGAGCGAAAGCAUGGGUAGCGAACAGGAUUAGAUACCCCAGUAGUCCCUGUCUCUUAUA